rnacentral:tRNA from 1 species
UGUAGCUUGGUGUAAGUGGCAUGUCACAGUUUGGGUGUGAUGGUGAUUAGAGGUUAGCUACAU